rnacentral:rRNA from 1 species
GAUGAACGCUGGCGGCGUGCUUAACACAUGCAAGUCGAACGGAAAGGCCCAAGCUUGCUUGGGUACUCGAGUGGCGAACGGGUGAGUAACACGUGGGUGAUCUGCCCUGCACUUCGGGAUAAGCCUGGGAAACUGGGUCUAAUACCGGAUAGGACCACUUCUUGGAUGUUGUGGUGGAAAGUUUUUUCGGUGUGGGAUGAGCUCGCGGCCUAUCAGCUUGUUGGUGGGGUAAUGGCCUACCAAGGCGUCGACGGGUAGCCGGCCUGAGAGGGUGUACGGCCACAUUGGGACUGAGAUACGGCCCAGACUCCUACGGGAGGCAGCAGUGGGGAAUAUUGCACAAUGGGCGCAAGCCUGAUGCAGCGACGCCGCGUGGGGGAUGACGGCCUUCGGGUUAUAAACUCCUUUCGCUAGGGACGAAGCGUUUUGUGACGGUACCUGGAGAAGAAGCACCGGCUAACUACGU